rnacentral:rRNA from 1 species
AGUGAACGCUGGCGGUAGGCCUAACACAUGCAAGUCGAACGGCAGCACAGUAAGAGCUUGCUCUUACGGGUGGCGAGUGGCGGACGGGUGAGGAAUACAUCGGAAUCUACUUUUUCGUGGGGGAUAACGUAGGGAAACUUACGCUAAUACCGCAUACGACCUACGGGUGAAAGCAGGGGAUCUUCGGACCUUGCGCGAUUGAAUGAGCCGAUGUCGGAUUAGCUAGUUGGCGGGGUAAAGGCCCACCAAGGCGACGAUUCGUAGCUGGUCUGAGAGGAUGAUCAGCAACACUGGAACUGGGACACGGUCCAGACUCCUACGGGAGGCAGCAGUGGGGAAUAUUGGACAAUGGGCGCAAGCCUGAUCCAGCCAUACCGCGUGGGUGAAGAAGGCCUUCGGGUUGUAAAGCCCUUUUGUUGGGAAAGAAAAGCAGCAGGUUAAUACCCCGCUGUUCUGACGGUACCCAAAGAAUAAGCACCGGCUAACUUCGUG